GCAAGUCGAACGAACUCUGGUAUUGAUUGGUGCUUGCAUCAUGAUUUACAUUUGAGUGAGUGGCGAACUGGUGAGUAACACGUGGGAAACCUGCCCAGAAGCGGGGGAUAACACCUGGAAACAGAUGCUAAUACCGCAUAACAACUUGGACCGCAUGGUCCGAGUUUGAAAGAUGGCUUCGGCUAUCACUUUUGGAUGGUCCCGCGGCGUAUUAGCUAGAUGGUGGGGUAACGGCUCACCAUGGCAAUGAUACGUAGCCGACCUGAGAGGGUAAUCGGCCACAUUGGGACUGAGACACGGCCCAAACUCCUACGGGAGGCAGCAGUAGGGAAUCUUCCACAAUGGACGAAAGUCUGAUGGAGCAACGCCGCGUGAGUGAAGAAGGGUUUCGGCUCGUAAAACUCUGUUGUUAAAGAAGAACAUAUCUGAGAGUAACUGUUCAGGUAUUGACGGUAUUUAACCAGAAAGCCACGGCUAACUACGUGCCAGCAGCCGCGGUAAUACGUAGGUGGCAAGCGUUGUCCGGAUUUAUUGGGCGUAAAGCGAGCGCAGGCGGUUUUUUAAGUCUGAUGUGAAAGCCUUCGGCUCAACCGAAGAAGUGCAUCGGAAACUGGGAAACUUGAGUGCAGAAGAGGACAGUGGAACUCCAUGUGUAGCGGUGAAAUGCGUAGAUAUAUGGAAGAACACCAGUGGCGAAAGCGGCUGUCUGGUCUGUAACUGACGCUGAGGCUCGAAAGUAUGGGUAGCAAACAGGAUUAGAUACCCUGGUAGUCCAUAUCGUAAAACGAUGAAUGCUAAGUNNUGGAGGGGUUCCGCCCUUCAGUGCUGCAGCUAACGCAAUAAGACAUUCCCGCUNGGGGAGUACAGCCGCCAAGGCUGAAACUCAGACGGAAUUGAAUGGCGACCGCACAAGCCAUGGAANGUGNNGGUUUAAUUCAAAACCACGCGAAAAACAUUUCCAGGUCUUUNCUUCUGUGGAAAUGAAAAAAGAUAG
rnacentral:rRNA from 1 species